AUUGAACGCUAGCGGGAUGCUUAACACAUGCAAGUCGAACGGAGUGGCGGACGGGUGAGUAAUAUAUCGGAACGUGCCCAGUAGCGGGGGAUAACUACUCGACAGAGUGGCUAAUACCGCAUACUAUUAGAGCUGCCCCAUUAGGAUUGGCUCGUUGGUGGGGUAACGGCGCACAAAGGCAACGAUCCGUAGCUGGUGUGAGAGGACGACAAGCCACACUGGGACUGAGGCACGGCCCAGACGCCUCCGGGAGGCAGCAGUGGGGAAUGUGGUACGAUGGGGGAAACCCUGAUCCAGCCAUCCCGCGUGUAUGAUGAAGGCCUUCGGGUUGUAAAGUACUUUUGGCAGAGAGGCGGUAUCUGCAGAAGAAGCACCGGCUAACUACGUGCCAGCCGCCGCGGUAAUAC
rnacentral:rRNA from 1 species